rnacentral:rRNA from 1 species
CCUACGGGUGGCAGCAGUGGGGAAUAUUGGACAAUGGGGGAAACCCUGAUCCAGCGACGCCGCGUGAGUGAAGAAGUAUUUCGGUACGUAAAGCUCUAUCAGCAGGGAAGAAAAUGACGGUACCUGACUAAGAAGCCCCGGCUAACUACGUGCCAGCAGCCGCGGGAAUACGUGGGGGGCAAGCGUUAUCCGGAUUUACUGGGUGUAAAGGGAGCGUAGACGGCAGCGCAAGUCUGGGGUGAAAUGCCGGGGCCCAACCCCGGAACUGCUCUGGAAACUGUGAAGCAGGAGUGCAGGAGAGGUAGGCGGAAUCCCUGUUGUGGCGGGGAAAGGCGUAGAUAUUAGGGGGAACACCGGCGGCGAAGGCGGCUUACGGGACUGUAACGGACGUUGAGGGUCGAAGGCGUGGGGAGCAAACAGGAUUAGAUACCCGGUAGUC